CCUUACCUCUAGUUGCCAGCGGUUCGGCCGGGAACUCUAGAGGGACUGCCCGGGUUAACCGGGAGGAAGGUGGGGAUGAUGUCAAGUCCUCAUGGCCCUUAUGUCCAGGGCUACACACGUGCUACAAUGGGCGAUACAAACCGUUGCAAAGUCGCGAGAUGGAGCCAAUCGGAGAAAGUCGCCCUCAGUUCGGAUUGCAGUCUGCAACUCGACUGCAUGAAGGUGGAAUCGCUAGUAAUCGUGUAUCAGAAUGAUACGGUGAAUA
rnacentral:rRNA from 1 species